CGCGCUCGGUGCGUUACCCGGGUUCUGGUUCAUCAACACGAGCGACUACGGGUCCCACAACCUGUUGCUCUAUUUCGGCUGUCUCGUCGGCGGCGUCCUCGCCGGCGUCACGCCGCCCAACGUCCGCGCGGUGCUCCUCAACGUGAACCCUCCAGGCGCGUUCUGAUUCACACUGGUCCCCAUACGACCGCGUCGGCGUGGUGAACGCGAUUCCUUAAGGACUUUGCCCGGCGUGUCUCUCCGCCCAGGGUCCCUCGCUUUCAAUACCCGCCCUCGGCGCCUUUCAACUCCGCUUCUGACGCCUAUGAACUCCGCCCCGACGUCGCUUUGAACGAUGGACCCUCGACCCUCAGAGACGCGCGGGAGCAUGUUCGCGUUCUACUCGCAGAUCGACGACGUCGGGAAGGGCGGCGGCCCCGCGCUCGUCGCCGGGCUGAUCAUGGCGUCCGGACGGAGGUUCGCGUUUAACGUCGCGAUGACCGGGUGGCUGGUGUGCGGGUGCGUUUUGUUGACGUUGCGGGGGUUCAUCGACGCGGACGUCGUUCGCGCGCAGGAGCAGGUGGAGGACGAGCUGGACGGCGUCGUCGCGGAGGAGGGGGGAGGGGGGGAGGGCGCGUCGAGGGACGACGAGGACGACGCGGAUAACGUAGCGUAGUGGCGAGGCGAGGGGUCGCCGGGAAACUUAGGUGAGGGAUCGCGGGAAACUUUCGCCGUCGGAACUCACACGCGCUCUCGAGAUCUGAGCGACCGCCGAUUUUCCCUGCUGCCGACGACGCGACGCGUCACACGUCAUUUCUUUUCAACCGUCUUUCGCGGCGGCCGCGCGAC
rnacentral:lncRNA from 1 species